rnacentral:lncRNA from 1 species
UGUCUAAAUAUUGAUGUGCUUCAGACAGACAGACGCUCAUAAAAAAGGGUUACCAUUUAUUUUUACAUUGUGGGCAACAUCGAAGGAUAAUAAAGAAAUCCAUAAGGACAUAUAAGAAACAAUAUUUAUCAGCAUGAACAUGAAAUAAAAGCCUUAAGGUGGCUCACCCCAAUAGUGAACCCCAGUAGAUUUUGUUUAUUUUCACAUAUUCUGUAGAUUUUUUUAUGCUGAAUCCAAAAAUGCAAAGAAAAAAGGGGUCACCAAACUUGU